GGGUGAGGAGCAUACAGGGCAUCUGAGACUCCAGGCAGAGGAGGGCCCUUGGAGGGGACCGCGGGCUGGACCGGCCGUCUGUGGGCGCAGGGUCGCUGGCGCGCUGUCCUGCCACGGCUAUCCCCAGAGUUUGGCCACCAUGGGCUCUCUUCGCCUGGCGGCGUCUAAGAUAAGUGACUUAGGGCCGCGGGGCUCAGCUGGCCUAGAGGUGUAUGGAAGCCUAGGACCCUAGAAAGCCUCUAGGAUCGCCACGACGCGAGCAGUAAUGGGAACCCUCGCAUCCCUCACCUCUCAUCUGCGGGACAGCAUCUCUACAGUCCCGCGCCGCCUCUCUCGCACACCGGGGUUGCAGAGUACCAGCCGCCUCCUUACUUCCCGCCGCCCUACCAGCAGUUGGCAUACUCGCAAUCCGCCGAUCAUUACUCGCACUUGGGAGAGGCUUACGCUGCCGCCAUCAACCCCUUGCACCAGCCUGCGCCCACCGGCAGCCAGCAACAGGCCUGGCCA
rnacentral:lncRNA from 1 species